rnacentral:rRNA from 1 species
UCUCCAUCUCUCUCCCCCUCACCACUUCUUCUCCCACCUCCGGCCGCCGCUGCGGCCAGGCCAUCGUGGCGGCGCGCCAACCAGUACCUCCACCAUCUCCCCACGCCGCCUAGUACCUCCACCAUCUCACCAUCAGCCACCGCCGCCAUCCAUCUCCGCCACCCAGCCAUCCAUCCGUGCCAUCUCCUCCAUCCGCUGACGCGCCAUACCAUCAGCGCCUCCAUACACCACGCUGCUGCUACUUGCCCUUCUCUCCUUGCCGCUGCUCCUCUCAGCUCUCUUUCCCUGCCUCGCUGCUUCUCCUACUCCUGGCGUCCCCUUGCUGCUGAUCCACCUCUCUUCUUAUACGAUCUGCUGCUGCUUCUCUCUUCUCCAUGCACCCCUGCUGCUCCUUCUCUCUACUUCUGUUGCUUCUUCUUCCCUGAACCACAACUGCUGCUGCUCCCCUCCCUCACGCGUCUGCUACAGGCUGCUCCUUCUUCUCCAUGCGCUCCUGCUACUUACUCCCUCUGCCGCUGCUCUUGCUUCUUCUCUGAACCCCUUCACUACUGCUCCUACUCACGGCCCUGACAAGACACCAUCACAGGGGAGUCUGAUCCCCUGCGUGCCUCUCCUCUCUGUCUUGCUGCUGCUAUCUCUCUUUCUCCUUCUCUUCUCUGAAUUUUCUGUAAGCUGAGAUGUGUAAUGCUUUGUAAUGUUCAGAUUUAAGUAGUGCUUGAAACUUGUUCAGUUUCAAACUUCUGCUUGAUUAAUAGUACUUAUGUUGUUCAUCUCAGAGUACUAGAAUUAUGUCUUGUAACCUCCCCCUGUUUGCAUAUGUGUGAUGUGUGUUCUGUAGCGUUGGUGUUAACUUUGUUCAUGUGAAAACAUAUAUGUUUGUGUUGUGAUAUGUUUUUGUCCCUAUCAUAUUAGCUUGUUUCUUUCCUUCUGUCAUUGCUAGUUAUAUAUGUGUGAGUGUUUGUGUGGUGAGAGUUGUACUGUACAUUGUGUUAGUGUUUUAGAUUCUCAAGUAUAAUGAAAAUACCAAAAAGAUAUUGAGUAAAAUCUGAACCUCCCUUUG